CCGAGUUAUCCAACUCCCAACCCCUGUGAAUUAUACCUUUAAUUGUUGCUUCGGCGGGACUUCGCGCCCGCCGGGGACCCAAACCUUCUGAAUUUUUUAAUAAGUAUCUUCUGAGUGGUUAAAAAAAUGAAUCAAAACUUUCAACAACGGAUCUCUUGGUUCUGGCAUCGAUGAAGAACGCAGCGAAAUGCGAUAAGUAAUGUGAAUUGCAGAAUUCAGUGAAUCAUCGAAUCUUUGAACGCACAUUGCGCCCGUCAGUAUUCUGGCGGGCAUGCCUGUUCGAGCGUCAUUACGCCCCUCAAGUCCCCUGUGGACUUGGUGUUGGGGAUCGGCGAGGCUGGUUUUCCAGCACAGCCGUCCCUUAAAUUAAUUGGCGGUCUCGCCGUGGCCCUCCUCUGCGCAGUAGUAAAACACUCGCAACAGGAGCCCGGCGCGGUCCACUGCCGUAAAACCCCCCAACUUUUUAUAGUUGACCUCGAAUCAGGUAGGACUACCCGCUGAACUUAAGCAUAUCAAUAAGCGGAGGAAUCGCGAUCUUGGUCAUUUAGAGGAAGUAAAAGUCGUAACAAGGUUUCCGUAGGUGAACCUGCGGAAGGAUCACUAGUGAUUAAAUCGAGCGUGUCUUCAUUGACCGCUCACCCUUCUCACCAUCCACAUACACCUGUGCACUGUUUAGCCUGAGCCGGUUUUCCGGUCCAGGUUAUCAUUUCAUACAAACUCUAGUCUUAUGAAUGUAAACGUUUUAAUAACAUAAUA
rnacentral:misc_RNA from 1 species